AGAACCAUGCACAUGAAUUCUUUAGGAUAUCAGACAUUCAAGACCACCUCUCUGCUCCUGUAGUGAGGCAGCCUGGCUCCCAGCCGCCCCAGAGAGGGACGAGCCCCUCCGGAUGCCAAAGUGGGCGGAGCCACUGGAGCCUGCGCCCGCCCCCCAGAGGUCAAAGCGCAGGACAGAAAGUAUAAAAGUCCAACCCCAGGGCUCAGAAGCUGCCUGGCCUCCGGAGAAGCCAGACGCUGGUGGCCUAGCUCCCGCUGGGGAGAUUCCUGCAGCCUGUGACCAACCCGAGGACUGGCCAUACCAGUAAAGGCCUGAUGCCGACCAGACCCCGGAGAAGCUGGUAAGCCUGCUUGUGAGAAGCAACCCAGAGGAGCUGCCAAGCUUACUGCUCGCUGAGUACCCUGAGGAGCCCAUGGUGCUGGAUCCCGUGGAGGACACCGACCAGACACAGUGGAAUUGCAUUUUGACAGUUUCAACUGGUGAAGCUAUAAACCAUACUGUCGAAGGAAACAAAGCUGUCCUUUCAAAGAAGGCAGAAAGAGGAAACUGCAACUGCCUUUGACUUAUGCCCAAACUAAGAAGGGUGCUGCUUCUCUCUGAAGCAGUGCCACAGAAUAACCUACAGAAACCACUGUGAUCAUAACUGGGCACCCAAUACUUUGAAGUUUCAUAUGCUUCUGCCCAUCUGGGAGAAUCAAGGAAGUACUGCAAGAAGGGAUGUUCUUAAUCCAAUCAAAUCCUGUUACAAGUCUGAAUCUCACUAGAUCAAUCAGAUUUCCAAAGCAUACGGGUCGUCUGCAUUUUCUGUCCCUGAUCCAGCAAAAUACACACUUAGCUCUGUCGGCUUCAACAGGACCAUGCACGUGUGUUGCUUGAUCAGG